CCAAGAAAAUAAGUGAUGUUGGCUGGAAUCUGAAGCAGAAUUUCCGUUUUCCUUCCAUGGGAACCAUAAACAGCCUGUUAUUGGUUGUAGCAGACAUUACAUACACACUAUACUUGAUAGAAAUGUAAACCUCUCUCUCUCAUACUCACACAACACAGACCAAGCCACACAGUAUUGCUGGCUCACAUCAGCAGCAGUAACUGUACAACUCUACAGCAGGAUACAUACACAGUUCAGCUAUCGGCACAUUGGAGAAAAAUUUGCAGUAUUGAUUUACUAUCAAUGACUUCAUAAAAUCAUUAUAAAGAUAAUGUUGGUGCCAAUAUUGUUACUACUAUUUCUUCCGAAAUUAUCACAAACUGUUGACAUAACCUAUAAUGUGAAAGAGAACCAAGCUCCAGGCACAUACAUUGGAGACAUUGCUAUUGACUCACAUUUAGGAAGCAGUAUUCCAUCACAAGAUCACAGUCUUCUUUGGUUUAGCCAACUUACUAGCAGUUCUCAGCUAUUUAAUGUCUCUAAGACAGGGAAAUUUUAUACCUCAUUAAUAUUAGAUGCUGAAUCUCUUUGUAAAUACAAGACAGAAUGUUUCAGAAUAGUAGAUGUUGCAGUCAGCCACAAAGAAUCUUUUGUAAAAAUAUUAGAAAUCAAAGUUAUUAUUGAAGACGCCAAUGACAAUCAACCUAAAUUUCCAGAGAAACAAGUAGAAAUAAUGUUCUCUGAAAGAGACAGCAUUGGAUCUUGGACAGCAAUACCAAAUGCUAUGGAUAAUGAUGUAAGCAUUCAAAGUUCACGGAUAACUUAUCAUCUAAAGAAAACAAAACAAGAACCUUUCACAUUAUCUGUUUUCAGAAACUUAGAUGGUUCUGCUAAACUUGGAAUAGUUUUACAAGAGAAACUUGACAGAGAACUGAAAGAUUCUUAUCAACUUCAAGUUAUUGCAAAAGAUGGUGGCCAUCCCCCUAAAGAAGGUGUUCUAAAUCUCCAAAUAUUAAUUCGAGAUGAAAAUGACAAUUCCCCAAUUUUCUCCCAAAAUAUUUACAAUGUUUCUAUCAAAAAUAGUUAUCAAAGAUCAAUGCCUAUAGUCACUUUAUCAGCAACUGACUUAGAUUCUGGUGAAAAUGGUAAAGUAAUGUUCCAGUUCAGUUCCAAAACAUCAGAGAGUGCCAGAGCCUAUUUUAAAUUAAAUGAAUCAACAGGAGAAAUCUGGCAACUGCAAAAGUUUCCACCAGGAUCAAAAAAAUUAUACAAACUGUAUGUUAAAGCCAAGGAUGGAGGAAAUCCAUCUUUGAGCUCAGUUGCUAUGGUUUUAGUGAAUAUAAAUAGUCAAGAGAAUAAUCCUCCUGAUAUAGACAUGAAUUUUAUAUCAAAAUCAGCAGCACAUCUAGCCAGUAUUUCAGAGGGAGUAAAAAUUGGUAGCUUUAUUGCUUAUGUAAAAGUCACUGAUAAUGAUAUUGGACAGAAUGGUGAAGUUCAUUGUUUGCUUCACCAUGAUAAGUUGCAGCUCCAAGGUCUUGGAAGAAAUAAAUAUAAAGUUAUAGUAAAAAAGGUUAUAGAUAGAGAAAGUAAGAGUUAUAUCAAUUUUACCAUUUCUUGUGAAGAUAAAGGAUUUCCACCCCUGAAGACAGACAAACAUUUUUAUAUACAAGUAAUGGAUAUAAACGAUGUACAACCAGAAUUUAUCAAAUCCUUAUUUAGAUUCCAAACAUAUGAAAAUGAAGAAGCAAACUUUCCUGUGGGCUUUAUAAAUGCCUCAGAUCCAGACUUAGGAUCUGGAGGAGAAUUAAAAUAUUCCCUGUUGAAUAACAAUGAAGAUAUUCUCCCAUUCAAGAUUUCAAACUUUGGAUUUAUUUCAACAAUUUCAACAUUAGACCAUGAAAAACAAGAUGUUUAUAAGUUCAAAGUCUUGGUAGAAGAUAAAGGAAUACCCUCUUUAAGUGAUACAGCAAAUAUAAUUGUUGAAGUGAUGGAUAAAAAUGACAACGUUCCAUAUUUUACAUUUCCUAGUGUUGAUCCCUUUAAUCUGGAUGUCCACUACCAUCCACAAAGUAACACCGAGAUAACAACAUUAAGAGCUUCUGAUAGAGACAGUCAUGUGAAUGCUUUCCUCAGAUAUGAAAUAUUUGGAGGAAAUAACAGACAAUUAUUCUCAGUUAACCCCUAUUCUGGUGUUAUAUCAUUCUCUCGUCCCAUUUACCAAAAUGAUGCUGGAUCAUAUACUUUGAACUUAGUUGUCAAAGAUAGUGGCACUCCAGUUUUAUCAGCAACCACUACACUGUCUUUGACACUAACUGUUAGCAAUACAACAGCCAGAAUGUACACAGCUGAAGACACGGAAUCAGACAACAGAAUUCAUAUUAACUUGAUGAUUAUAAUUGUGGUAGCAGCAGUGAUAGUUUCUGUGGCCAUUGUAGUUUCAGUGAUAGUAUGUGUUGUCCAUAAAAGGCAUCAAAGAGACGUCCAGUACGCUACAAACAAUGAGUUUGUUGGUGAACAAAGACAGUCAGGAUAUGUCUGUGAACUAAUGUCACCUAAAUAUGAUAUCCCAGUUGCUAUGGUAACAGAUGCAGACUGCAAUCGCACCCCUAAAGCAACACUAAUAAGAAGAGACCCAAAUUCUGAUUAUGAACCUGGGUGUGACUGGGAAGUUUCCUCUGCAGAAGUCCAUCCUCAGUUCCUUACUACACAAUCUCACCAGAUCAAUUUUCUCUCAAGCAGGGCCUCGGACAUAGGCCAACAUGAGCCUAUAAUUGUGUCUCUUGACCGUCUUAAUGACAUAUCAACAAUCCCAUCAAAUGCAGAAAAUAAUCAAGAAUGGAAUGAAAGAAAUGCUGGACAUUAUGAAACUCUACCAGGUCUAAAGUAUUUUCCGCAAGAACAGACUCCAAGUUCAGCCGUUAAGUUAUUUUCUAAUGAUGUACCAUAUAUAUGAAAAGGCUUACCAAUUACUAAAAGGAACCUACACACAAUUCAACAUAUUCAGCAAUAAGCAGGAAAAGGAAAUACAAAAUCAACUGAAACAGAAGCACUCGUUACCUUGACAACCACAACGUUCACAUAAACUACCAUCGAGUCCACCAUGUCAAAACUGAAGGAACAUUUCCAGAAAUGCCAAACUUCCACAAGAAAUAGUUCUACAGUCAUGUAGAGAAAUGGCAUCAAGGUAAACUAUGGCCUAUCUAAUAGGUGAUUGAAAGAGGCUUCCAAACAGAUGCUGUAGUAGUCUGACGUUAUCUGAAACCUGAAAAAUGGAACAUUCCAAUAAACAAAAUUCUGCCUUAUCAAGGGCUUUAAACUCAUAAAGCUGAAUCAAUAUUCUCAAUCCAAUCCCUUCUGCAACAUUCUAUAGGAAACAAAGAUUGUAAGGGAUAUAUCAGUACGAACCAAGAUAAGUGUGGAUACAUUUACUAAAUUUUUUCAGCUUAGAAGAAUAAUGAAACUGAAACUGUUAAUUACAUUCUGCUUGAUUACAUUCAUCAACACAAAUUUACUGCUCUCCAGAAAAAUAUGUGUGUGUAUGUGUGUGUGUGUGUGUGUGUGUGUGUACAUAUAUAUGCUUCUGUAUGUACAAAUGGAUGUGUGUGUACGUGCAUACACACACACACAAAACCACUUGAACACGCACAUAUAUUUGCAUAUGUACAUAUAUGUAUAUGUAUGUAUAUACUUAUACCUAAGUAUAAAUACAGAACACAUGCAAACACACAUACACACACACAUACAUAUGAACAGACAGAUAAGUCAUUUUGUAUAAAGACUUUAAGAAGAUUUCACAGAAAUUCUUACAUUAGUAAUGAAGGUAUUUCACCUAUUUUGCACCAAACAUAAAAGGGAAAUAAAUUAAGCAAAUGGACACCCCAUGAAAUCAUUGAUAGGAUCAAGAAGCAAAGGAUCACAAUUUGUCACUAAAUCAAAACUGAUUACAUUUUUCUCUCCCACAUCAAAACUG